rnacentral:tRNA from 1 species
GGAGAGAUGGCGGAGUGGACGAUCGCGUAAGAUUGCUAAUCUUUUGUAGAAAAUUUUUCUACCGAGGGUUCGAAUCCCUCUCUCUCCU